rnacentral:lncRNA from 1 species
AAACUUAUCUUAAGGUUCCCUAUCCUAUUGAUCUCAAACCCCAAACCUCUCUUAAGACAUAUACACACAGACAUACGUACACAGGCAAAACACUCUAUUCAUAAAAUCUAUCCUGUAGCAAAAGUCGAUUUGAUAUUCCGUCGUACUUGAACAUUUGAACGUAGAGAUUAUGGUUCAACCUUUGAUGCAACGUUUACCUUGAAUUCGUCGCGUAUCGUCAUUCUGUGUUUUUCCUUUACCUCGUACAUAUCUUUCCAUUCCUCUUUGUAGUUCAAAAGAAUCAUUGUUUUCUUGAGGGAGCUGAAAUGCUCUAAGUUCUCUUUCAUUCUUCUACAUCAUCACCUUAAGAAUCUAGAUUAUAGAGAUAUCCUACUAAUCUAGUAGUCUAUGUUCUUUUUGAAAUUGUGAUCAUGCAACUUAUAGC